AUGCAAGUCGCACGAGAAAGCGGGAGCAAUCUCGCAAGUAAAGUGGCGUACGGGUGAGUAACACGUGGAUAAUCUGCCCUUUAGUGGGGAAUAACCCUGGGAAACCGGGGCUAAUACCGCAUAAGCCUGAGAAGGGAAAGCAGCAAUGCGCUGAAGGAGGAGUCCGCGGCCGAUUAGCUGGUUGGGAGGGUAAAAGCCUACCAAGGCAAAGAUCGGUAGCCGGCCUGAGAGGGCACACGGCCACACUGGCACUGAAACACGGGCCAGACUCCUACGGGAGGCAGCAGUGGGGAAUCUUGCACAAUGGGGGAAACCCUGAUGCAGCGACGCCGCGUGAGCGAUGAAGCCCUUCGGGGUGUAAAGCUCUUUCGGCAGGGACGAUAAUGACGGUACCUGCAGAAGCAGCUGCGGCUAACUACGUGCCAGCAGCCGCGGUAAUACGUAGGCAGCGAGCGUUGUUCGGAGUUACUGGGCGUAAAGGGUGUGUACGCGGUUCUCUAAGUUUGGUGUGAAAUCUCCCGGCUCAACCGGGAGGGUGCGCCGAAAAC
rnacentral:rRNA from 1 species